AGAUGACUCUCACUGCUCUUCUCAGGAUUACCUGGAAGAAAGAGGCUGCUAAAUGCAAAGGAGAAGGAGAGAAAUGCCUCCUGGGCGUAUGUGGAAGGUCAUGGGCAUCUGGUAACAGGAAAUACUCUCUGGGAUCUACAGAAUAACAGAACUGGGAGAAAACCUAAUUGGCAGUGCAUCAGUUCCCUCAUAGACUAUGAAGUGCUUCUGAAUUUGUACUGCUUAGCAAGUGCUUGGCAAAUAUAAAAAGAGCAAGGCUGGAAACAACAAGUAUUUGUUGCCCAAGGCCAUACACCCUCUGUGGCAUCAAACCCUGUCUGACCUACAGGAAAAUUCCUAGAGCUCACAUAUGUUUCACCUCAUUGGAAUUUACCUGGGAGUCUUUGGUGUGUUUUAGACAGGAGAUGAGUGGCCCUAGAUGUUUAAAAUGAAACUUACUGUGCAAGACAAAAAGGAAAAAGGCUACUGUAGCUAUGAGAUAAAUAUGCAGCUGGCUUGACGGUUGUGAUCCGAUGUGUUGAGAGGAGAAACCAUCAAAAUAUGAUAUAUGAGCAGAGCUUUGGGAGUCAUCAUCCAGCUGCAACAAAGAUGUAACAAUCGCAGGGAUAAGACAGAAAACUUGAAAGACGAGCUUCAAAUGUUCUGUAUUGACUGUUUUAAAGCAAUAGACAUGACUGAAAGCAAGUAUAUACUGAUGAUCUUGGGGGGCCGUUCCAACUGAAGCCAUUCUAUGAUUCUGUCAUAUGAUUCUAUGUUUAUUUAUAUACAUGCGGUGUGUAGGCAGCUCUGGAAGGUCUGGAAAAUGGCAACAUUUAAAUGCAAUAAUGAUAGAAAUAGGCAGGAAUUAGUGUCUUAAAAUUCCAUAUUGGUAUGGUAUGGCAAUGAGGGGAAAUCAGGUACAUGAAAGCAGGGGAAGAAAUCACUGUGUUAUUCCUGAAGGUACUUUGGAUCCUCCAUGAGGUUGUGCUUCUGGAAUUAAGCUUUCACUUUGGCAGAUACUGCUUUCCAGUUACAAGCCUAUUAAGGCCUUCUCAACAAGAACAUCAAUGAAGAUGUUCUCCAUGUGCAAAACUAUGUUAAUUAUUGUUCUUAUAGUAGUCUCUCUGCCCUUUUCAGAUGCAGAAGAAUCAUUUUUAAACAAAAGCAAUAAAGUGGU
rnacentral:lncRNA from 7 species